UGCACAAAGUCAAACCCAUUAGAAGCAAACUGUUUCUUAUCAAAAAUCAAUUGCUCACUUUCAAAAACAGUUUUAAAAGGAAAGUAGACGUCUUGUUGUGGUUUUGAUUUCUUGAGAAGUCCAAACAUCCUGAAAACACUUAACAAAGUUAGAAAAUAAAAAUCUUCACACUCUCAAGUGUUUAGCUCUCGAUUUUUAAAUGGUCACUCAGAGUUCUUUCACUGGUUCAAAAGAUGAUAGGCAGUCAAGAUUCAGCAAUCAAAACCCAAAACAAACUUUGUGGGAAAAAAAAAGAGAAAGAAAGAUGAAGAGAAUUUUGAUAUGGAUCCGCCUUAACUGUCCUAAGGCUGGAUUUCUCUUCAGCCAGCAGGGUUUCUCUUCCACCACUCCCCCUGGAUUUCUCUUCAGAAGUGAUUCAAGCCAAAACUUUUACUCUUUUUCUUUUCUUUUUUUUUAUCUUUUUUUUUUUUUUUUUAAAUAACUGGCGAUCACAAGGGAGUAAAGGAACAGCCCGGAUCCAAAAAGAAAUAAGAAAAGAAAAAUGAUGAAGAUAUGAGAAGAUGAUAAGAAGAAUGAAAACAAACCAGCCAAAGUGGCUCUGAUACCACUUGAUAGAACCAAAAUCGGGAAGGAUCACUUUAGCUGGGUGUUGGAUAUGAUCCGAGAAGGCAAACGGCACUUCUGGAACAGAGAUGGAUUGAAAGGAUCGUCAAGAGAUGCGGAAUGGCUCUUGAUAUACCCACGAUCUAAGGCUAACCACCUAAGAACGAAUGUAGUGUGUUGGCUAACCACCAAACGACACACAAAGAUGAUUGGCUGACCACCAAAUCAACAAGCCGGUUCAAACCGAUGAACUAGCUAAAGAACUCUCUCUCUCACUCAGAGAAGAAAAGAAAUAAACUCAAAAACAUAGACUGAUUUUAUUCAUGGCAGAGUUUACAUAUUUAUAGUACAAUGAGUCAAAGAAAGACUUAAGAGUUUUGUAGAAAACUAGAAACUUAGAAAACAUAAACAAAGACUAAGACUUUUGACUAGAAAUAAGUGUGUUGUUGAAUGGCUCUUGGAUGAUCACGACUUUGACUCCUUUUGUUGAUAUUUCUUGAUGCAAAUGGGCAGGAGACCAUCAGCAAAGGCCUGGUCGAAUUUGGUGUAAAACCGACCCAAAUUGAAUUCGUUAUGAAUUUUUCUUUGGGCUGAAAAAGGCCCAUUUCGCCCAGCAACUAAAC
rnacentral:lncRNA from 1 species